CCUAACCCUAAGCCCUGACCCUAACGCUAACCCCCACCCAUACUUUGUUGGCCCUAGGUUCUCCAGCCCUGCUGGGCUCCCCGCUCCCCUGGGGUUUUGGCUUCUGGGAGGCGAGGGAGGGGAUUCAGUUCCGGCCGCUGCGCCCCGCGAGGCUCCAGGAGGCGACCGCGCACGUGGCGGGGCGGGGCUCGUACCUGUGGCCGCGUGGCGGGGGCGGGUCAGGUCGGGGCACGAGGACGGAGUUCAGGUAGUUGGGCGACUGUUGGAAAAACUGGCCUCUCCUCGCUCCGCGCUUCGCCGCCGCCUCCCCGGGUCCUGCCGCUGCCGAGGUCGCGCAGAGGUGGACCCGCCCGCGUCCUGCCCUCGCCUCCUGCUUGCAGGUCCUGAGGCCUGGAGCCACGGGCCAGCUGCGCACAUGUGGUGGGAUUCCAGCCAGACCUGCUCAGGGAAGGGCGAGGCCAUUCCCACGCCCAGAGCACCUGCAGAGCCUCUGCCGUCCUCUGCCGACAGCUGAGGCCCCUCACGUUCACACGGUUCGACUGCGUGAUGUUAACAGGCUGUUCCCUCUGAAAAGGACACGUGUGGAUAAACCAUUUAUGGACACCACGGUUCUGAUGAGCCGAGCAGAGGUUUCACCCCUGCGGUGGGCGCCAUUCCACCGACAUGCGUCCUGUAACAAAUGACAUAAAAUACAGCUGUUUUAAGGGCAGAGUCGUUGCUUAAAAUUGGAGGCCAAUUAAAAACUACAAACAUUCUACUAAACCCAGAAUUCUUAGGGGGGAG
rnacentral:lncRNA from 1 species